CAUCAUAAGCGUAUAAAAAUACCAACAACGAGCGCGUACGUCGAGCAGCAGGGAGGCGAUGGCGACAAAAGGCCAGACAAAAGAAUGCAAACAAGAAAUUCAAAUUAAAUGCAGCUUUGCUUUUGAUAGAAUCGGACGCGUCGGUCGCGUUGUACUGUCGCGAAUAAGAUCUGUAUCUCUGUGCGCGACGCCUUAUAUAAUUUGAAAAGCAGUUACCUUAAUGGAAGGAAGCCUCCUCUGACUGAAUCCGAAUGUGUGCGUGGGUUGUUUGGUUCGUUUCGGAGCGGAGUGCGGCGUGCCAGUCGAUCAUUCGAAUCACUUUCCUACAACACUGGUUAAUUUAAAGAAGCUAGCUUUAUUGGAUUGUUUAUAAAAAAGGUUUAAACAAAAAAGGUCAACAGCAAUUUCCACAGAAAUGCAUUUUGUUUACAUGGUAAUUACACGUUUCCUACAUGUUUUCUACACAUUGUAAUGUAAUUAUUAAAGGCCACCCCUAGGGGGGAAGUGUGUACAUUUAAAAAAUGUUGGCCGUCCGUUUUUCAUAUAAUCCCCAUGGAAGCGCCAGUGUGCAAAACCUGCGCUAUCCACUUUCUUACAUGCCUUUUCUUCGACAUUUAAAAAAAUUGAGAUUUUGAUGGCAGGUGAUCAUAAAUUCGAUUCUGAUCAAAAAUUAGUAUUCGUUGUGGUCUGGGACAUGGCAUUUAAAUUCAUUUCUACAUUAUUUCUACAUGAUUGGAUUAUCACAACGAGGUUUUCCAUAACGCGUCUUAAAAACAUACUGGAAAAUACUAUGAAAAGUAUCAAAAUGUUCAUGGUGUGCGAGCUAGACAUGGUGUUGAACAUGGCAGUGUUACCGUGGAUUUAUUAAUAAGGAAAACGGUCUGACCCUCAGAAAUAGACGGAAAUAGACAGUCGCAUUAUCAUAAUAUACCAUCCAUAUUGUCCUUCAUCAUUACCUACUUAAACAUUAACGUGUACAGACUUUUCGACAAUAGGUUAGCUAA
rnacentral:sRNA from 1 species